rnacentral:rRNA from 1 species
CCUACGGGAGGCUGCAGUGGGGAAUAUUGGACAAUGGGGGCAACCCUGAUCCAGCCAUGCCGCGUGUGUGAAGAAGGCCCUCGGGUUGUAAAGCACUUUCAGUGAGGAAGAACGCCUGGUGGUUAAUACCCAUCAGGAAAGACAUCACUCACAGAAGAAGCACCGGCUAACUCCGUGCCAGCAGCCGCGGUAAUACGGAGGGUGCGAGCGUUAAUCGGAAUUACUGGGCGUAAAGCGCGCGUAGGUGGCUUGAUAAGCCGGUUGUGAGAGCCCCGGGCUCAACCUGGGAACGGCAUCCGGAACUGUCAAGCUAGAGUGCAGGAGAGGAAGGUAGAAUUCCCGGUGUAGCGGUGAAAUGCGUAGGGAUCGGGAGGAAUACCAGUGGCGAAGGCGGCCUUCUGGACUGACACUGACACUGAGGUGCGAAAGCGUGGGUAGCAAACAGGAUUAGAUACCCCUGUAGUC